ensembl:lncRNA
GGCAGGUUGGUGAUCUCACUCCAUGUAAUCGUGUGUGUAUGUGACCCAGUGGGACUAGGGAUGCCGUAGAGCUGAAUGUAGCGAGACACCAGAGGACUCUGACCACACAGCUUGAAAGGGACAUGUUGGAGCUGGAACAAAUCACACAUGACUGAAACACUGCACACAUAAUCAGAAAACACAUGAACUUUGGACUUGCUCCCAUGUAGCGGGACUAGAACACAUUAGACAAGACAAAAACACUGCACACACAAUCAUAAAUGAUGCGAGUGUAUGUGUUACCUCUCUCUCACAGUUCAUCCUGGAGUCAGCACUGGUGAUGCGUUCGCUCUUCUGCUUCACUGGGAGGCUGAGACUGAGUUUGCUGGCACUAGACACCAGCACUUCAAAGUUCAUCUCCUGGUUCCCCUGAAACACCUUACACCCUGACUUCGGAUCUGCGACCACCCCGAAACCACUGUCACUCUGCGUCGUGUUACUGUGGCUAAGAGAUGCUUAAAAGAGCUUGUCUGCAGUGGGGCAGUCUGGGUGUGUGAGAGUGGGGGUGACAGAGGGGUGUCUCCGUGCUGCUGUGUCCCCUCCACGGCUACUGUUCCAGAGGGUUCUAUCCCCGUUACAGGAAACGGUUAUUUCAAGGCAGCUGAUUCUGGAUCAUCUGGAGUUGAGAUGGGAGCCUUAUUGAGUUACCUGUCAGCAGUGCAGAGCAGCAGGCAUGUUGAGAAGUUAACAGAGCAUGCACAAGCUUCUCACAAUACACAGUGGAUAUGAAUGACCUGAUCCUAACCACGUUACAUCCUGUAGACGGUGUACACAUUUGGGCUGCCGGAGGACUUUCUGGACCCUCCGGACAACCACGGCCUGGCUGGUGAGAACAGGCACAGGACAAUAUACACCUGUUUCUGUCAACUACUGUUGUUUCUCUGCCCUGAAAAACAUGCCAGGCCGGGCUUUCACAAACGCAGUUUGAGGAGACCAUCGAGGAGAGAGAAAGGCUAACUCACGGGCAAGUGGAGCAGCUGGAGAAAGAACAAAGCAGCCGAUGACCCAGAGAGUCAUCUUAACACAAAAACUUGUUUAUUGCUCCAAUUAUUAUGCACUGCUGAAACACGUCCUUUUAAGGCCUUGGGACCCAACCUAUGUGGACAGUUAAUUACUUGAUCUUUGAGCCUCCAUUCAUGUAAGCCCAGUAGUUGACUCUGUCAGCAGUGGCUCAGUGAUUUGUGUUUUUUUGUUUGUACAAAAGAGCUAUAAUGUUUAAUUGGCAGGAGUUAAACCCCGACAAUUUUUGUUCAUUUGUUCAGGUGAAGAACACUUGUUCGCCACAGUGUUGUUGGUGCCUUAUUUAAAACAAAGAAACUAAAUCCUAUAUAAAGCAAAAAGACAAAGAUUCUCAAUCUUUGUUUUUGGCAGGUUUUUAUUUUCCACUCGUCCCGUUGUUUUUGGUUUAGUACAGUUGUGUAUUUCCCCCCAACCAUUUACAAUGAAUAAAAUACCAAAACAGAGCCCUGUGAGACAGUUUGUGACUGUGGCAGGGUUGGAUUUGUUAUUGUCAAAUAACAAAUUAAUGUCUGUCAGUAAGAUCCCUGGAACAGAGAGUCCAAAUAAGUUAUUUAAUUAACAUGUCUGAUGAUUAUUUCUUAAUUCACUUUGUCAAAUUAUGUUCUGCCACCCACAAGUAAUUUG